rnacentral:rRNA from 1 species
GAUCAUGGCUCAGGACGAACGCUGGCGGCGUGCCUAACACAUGCAAGUCGAACGGGGUUAUUUGAGAGCUUGCUUUUGAAUAACCUAGUGGCGGACGGGUGAGUAACGCGUGAGUAACCUGCCUUUCAGAGGGGAAUAACAAUCUGAAAAGAUUGCUAAUACCGCAUAACAUCUAAUUGUCGCAUGGCAGAUAGAUCAAAGGAGCAAUCCGCUGAGAGAUGGACUCGCG